rnacentral:SRP_RNA from 1 species
GCCGGGCAUGGUGGCGCAUGCCUGUAGUCCCAGCUACUUGGGAGGCUGAGGCAGGAGAAUUGCUUGAAUCUAGGAGGUGGAGGUUGCAGUGAGCCAAGACUGAACCACUGCACCCCAGCCUGGGCGACAGAGUGAGACUCUGUCUCAA